UGGCAGCUACACAUGCAGUCGAGCGGAACGAUGAUAGCUUGCUAUCAGGCGUCGAGCGGCGACGGGUGAGUAAUACUUAGGAAUCUACCUAGUAGUGGGGGAUAGCACGGGGAAACUCGUAUUAAUACCGCAUACGACCUACGGGAGAAAGGGGGCAGUUUACUGCUCUCGCUAUUAGAUGAGCCUAAGUCGGAUUAGCUAGAUGGUGGGGUAAAGGCCUACCAUGGCGACGAUCUGUAGCUGGUCUGAGAGGAUGAUCAGCCACACCGGGACUGAGACACGGCCCGGACUCCUACGGGAGGCAGCAGUGGGGAAUAUUGGACAAUGGGGGCAACCCUGAUCCAGCCAUGCCGCGUGUGUGAAGAAGGCCUUUUGGUUGUAAAGCACUUUAAGCAGUGAAGAAGACUCCAUGGUUAAUACCCAUGGACGAUGACAUUAGCUGCAGAAUAAGCACCGGCUAACUCUGUGCCAGCAGCCGCGGUAAUACAGAGGGUGCAAGCGUUAAUCGGAAUUACUGGGCGUAAAGGGAGCGUAGGUGGCUUGAUAAGUCAGAUGUGAAAUCCCCGGGCUUAACCUGGGAACUGCAUCUGAAACUGUUAGGCUAGAGUAGGUGAGAGGAAGGUAGAAUUCCAGGUGUAGCGGUGAAAUGCGUAGAGAUCUGGAGGAAUACCGAUGGCGAAGGCAGCCUUCUGGCAUCAUACUGACACUGAGGCUCGAAAGCGUGGGUAGCAAACAGGAUUAGAUACCCUGGUAGUCCACGCCGUAACGAUGUCUACUAGUCGUUGGGUCCCUUGAGGACUUAGUGACGCAGCUACGCAAUAAGUAGACCGCCUGGGGAGUACGGCCGCAAGGUUAAAACUCAAUGAAUUGACGGGGCCCGCACAAGCGGUGGAGCAUGUGGUUUAAUUCGAUGCAACGCGAGAACCUUACCUGGUCUUGACAUAUCUAGAUCCUGCAGAGAUGCGGGAGUGCUUCGGGAUAGAUACAGUGCUGCAUGGCUGUCGUCAGCUCGUGUCGUGAGAUGUUGGGUAGUUCCCGCACCGAGCGCACCCUGUCUAGUUACAGCGGGUUAGGCAGGACUCUAAGGAUACUGCCAUGACAACCUGAGAGCCGGACGAACGUCAAGUCAUCAUGGGGGCU
rnacentral:rRNA from 1 species